AUGGAUCUGUCUUGCCUUGACCGUGAAUUCUCUUGGGCUGAGAUCCUUGAUGCAAUCAACCACUCUCUGAACAACCGUAGCCCUGGUCCGGAUGGGUUCACAAAUGAGUUCUACAAGGCCUUCCACAACAUUCUCAAGGUUGACUUGCAGUGUUUCUUCUCAGGUCUGUACCAUAACCGGGUGGACCUGACUGGUAUCAACACGGCUUUCAUCUCACUUCUGCCGAAGAAAGAAACUCCUCUUCAUAUACGUGACUACCGACCAAUUUCCAUCGUCCAUAGUGUGCCCAAGCUUGUGAGCAAGGUUCUCACCUGUAGGCUGCAGUGUCAGAUGCCUGAGUUGAUUCACUCGUUGCAGUCAGGCUUUGCCAAAGGGAGGUCUAUUGUGGAAAACUUUGCCAUGGCAGCUGAUAUGAUUCAGAGUGCUCACAAGUGA
rnacentral:rRNA from 1 species